rfam:Salmo salar isolate Sally breed double haploid chromosome ssa02, whole genome shotgun sequence.
UCAAUACCAAUUUGUAAGUCGCUCUGGAUAAGAGCGUCUGCUAAAUGACUUAAA